rnacentral:misc_RNA from 1 species
ACGAUGCAUAUGCUCCUUUCAGUUCUUUCCUUAUUCUUUUUCUUUCAAAAUAGGAAUACUAGUGCCCUUACAAAAAUAAAGGAAUAAUUUAUUGAACUUUUAACUUGAAUAAUAUCAGUGUUUGGCUCCCCUGAGUUUUUGUAGUGAUUAGUAGUAUAUACUGAUUUAUUCCUGGGAAUAAGAGUUUACUUUGCAUACACGUUUGUAUCGCGGUACGUUAUACCGCGGAUAUGGUGGUAAUAAAAGGUAUUGCUCUCUCUAUCUCUAAGAUAGUAAUAAUAUUUAUGAAUACCUCUCAAUAUACAUUUUAAAUGACUUCGAAUGAAAUGUAUUAGAAGAUAAUAAUCUGAUAAUUAAUUAAGAUAUUUUAGAAUACAUUAAUCACUACAAUCUACGCCUCCGUAUUAAAUAAUUCUCUUAAAGUUUCGACUUUCAAAAAUAAACCUAAUGUGAUAGUUAAUGUUUCUAUCAGGUAAAAUAGAAAAAAAAGUGCUACAGUUAGCUUAAAUCGUAUAUAAUACUAAUAAUCAAGAUUAUUAUAUAUAUAAUACCUGAACAAAAGAUUCUCUGAUACACACAUACACACACAAAAAUGGAUGUUAGUAAAGUUGACGAAGAUAAUCAACGUAGUAUCAAUGACGGUGAUUGGGUCUGUCCAGAUUCUCAGUGUGCUAAUGUAAAUUUCGCAAGACGAAGCUCUUGUAAUCGUUGUGGAAAAGACAGAGGCGAAUGUACAAAGAAGAAAAAGCUGGGACAAGAAAUUGGUAAAGCGGCUGCAGAAAAAAGUAGAGGAUUAUUUAGCGCAGAUGAUUGGCAAUGUAGUAAAUGUGGUAACGUGAAUUGGGCUCGUCGACAACAAUGCAAUAUGUGUAAUGCUCCUAAAUUUGGGGAAAUAGAAGAACGUACUGGAUAUGGUGGAGGAUACAAUGAUCGGGGUAUAGUUGAAUAUAAAGAAAGAAGAGAAGAUGACGACGAUUAUGAUGAAUUUGGAAGACGUAAAAAAAAGAGAAAGAUUGAAAAUCGUUCUGACGAUGAUUCUAAGGAUUCUAGAUACAACAGCCCUUCUCAUUGUAAAGCCAAAGAAGACGAAAAAGAUGAGAUAGCUGAGGAAGAAGUAGAACAAGUUGAAGAAAAUGAUAAUGAAGAAGGAGAAGAAGAAGAACAAGCAGAAGAAGAGGAAGAGGAGGAGGAAGAAGAAGACGAAGAGGAAGAUGAUGAUGACGAUGGAGAUUUAUCAAAAUAUGAUCUUAGCGAAUGGGACACCUUGGCAACAGUAAAAAAAAGCACAAAUGGAAAUACAGUUACUUCGGAAGAACAACGGUCAAGAAAUGGAAAUGAUUGGCGUGAUUCAGGUACAUCCAGCCACUGAGAAGUUGUGCAGAAGGACAGGUUUGACAUGGGUUUUAGGGAUAAAACUGGUUUUUAAAAACCGCAAUAAGCAGAAGAAAAUACUUGGAGCAACAGCAAGUACGCAACUAAGAACAUAUAUAUAAUGCGACAAGUUUAGUGAUUUAGUGAGCACUUUUUAAAUAAAGUGGAAGAUAAUAUAAAACUUCUUGCAAAAAGGAAAUCGAUCGAUGUUAAGCUUUAAAUUUGUGAUCAAAUUGAUAGAAAGAAUGAUGAUGAGGAUAAUGAUGAUGAUUAUGAUAAUAAUAAUAAUAAUAAUAGUAACGAUAAUAAUAAUAAUACGAAGGAAAAAGAAAAAAAACAGGUUGUUCAUCUACGCAAUAUUGUCAUUUUGCAUAAUUAUUGCAAAAAGUUUAUAAAUCAUUAAGCGUAGAUAAAAUUUCUUCGCUAGUCAAAACAAGAUUCUAUAAUUUUGGUGAAUCCUCGUAGAUACAAUUUUCCUAGAUAAAUGACAUAAGGGGAUACGAUGUUAUUUAUAAAGUUUAUUAAAAUUGAUGGAAAAAUUUUUCAAAGCUUUGCAAAAAAAAUAUUUCAAAGCACAAAAAAUAAUUGUAAUGGCUUCGAAUUUUCAAUUGUGUUAUUAAUUACAAAUGCACUAGGUCAAUGUAAACAACAUAUCACUGCUUAAAUUGCGCUCAGCCUGCUUUUGUAAUACUUUAUUCUUCACCGCUUGAAAGAUAUUUUUUCGGUCUAUUAUUUCCUUUUUUCUAUAUCUAUGCAUAAAUAUCCGAAUAAGUAACUAUACUGUGUAGUAUUAAAUGAAUCAUUCCCUUAUAAUGAAUUCUCAAAUGUGUUCGCGUCAUCAGAUUGAAAAAAAGAUAUGGUGUUUUCUCUGAACUUAAGAUAGAUUUAAAUAAGUCGAAAGCAAUCGACAUAAUUAAAAAUAUAACGUGAAUUUGUUUCUAUAUCUGUUGCAUAUAGCAACACCAUUGAUAACAACUUCCAUGCUUGCUUUUAAACUAUUUAAAAAACUAAAAGAAAAAAUGAAUAACGGACAAAAUUCAAUGUCAUAAUGACUUCUUGUAAAUAUCUUUAUUUUUCAUUUAUAAUAAAAAUCAUUCGUCAACAACAUAAUUGUUCUUAGUCAAUUACUUUUUUUAUAAUCAUUAUAAACUACAUGGGGUCAUGAUUAUGCACAGAGUUGGUCACAAGGAGGAUUGGUGAGGGAGUGAAGGGGGACGGGCGAUAUUGUAAGGAUUAUGUUGCAACAGGUUUAUAUAUGUAUACAUAUGCGUAUAUAUAUGUAUAUAUAUACAUAUACAUGUUUGUAUUUUAGGUAUUUAUGCAUGUAUGUAUGUAUUUAUGUAUAUAUGUAUGUAUGUAUAUAUCGUAUGUAUGUACAAUUAUGAAAUUGAAUUUGUAACGUG